rnacentral:rRNA from 1 species
UACGUAGGAGGCAAGCGUUGUCCGGAAUCACUGGGCGUAAAGCGCGUGUAGGCGGUGGGGGCAGUCUGUUGUGAAAGCGCUCGGCUUAACCGGGCGAGGUCGACGGAUACUCCCGCACUGGAGGCCGGUAGAGGGGGGUGGAAUUCCCGGUGUAGUGGUGAAAUGCGUAGAGAUCGGGAGGAACACCAGUGGCGAAGGCGGCCCCCUGGGCCGGGCCUGACGCUGAGACGCGAAGGCGUGGGGAG